rnacentral:rRNA from 1 species
GUGGGGAAUCUUGCGCAAUGGGCGAAAGCCUGACGCAGCCAUGCCGCGUGAAUGAUGAAGGUCUUAGGAUUGUAAAAUUCUUUCACCGGGGAAGAUAAUGACGGUACCCGGAGAAGAAGCCCCGGCUAACUUCGUGCCAGCAGCCGCGGUAAUACGAAGGGGGCUAGCGUUGCUCGGAAUUACUGGGCGUAAAGGGCGCGUAGGCGGACAUUUAAGUCAGAGGUGAAAGCCCAGGGCUCAACCUUGGAAUUGCCUUUGAUACUGGAUGUGUUGAGUUCGGGAGAGGUGAGUGGAAUGCCGAGUGUAGAGGUGAAAUUCGUAGAUAUUCGGAAGAACACCAGUGGCGAAGGCGACUCACUGGCCCAAUACUGACGCUGAGGCGCGAAAGCGUGGGGAGCAAACAGGAUUAGAUACCCGAGUAGUCC